rnacentral:rRNA from 1 species
GCUAAACGCGAAGAACCUUACCCAGACUUGACAUGCAGAGGACGACGGUAGAGAUAUCGUUUCCCUUCGGGGUCGUCUGCACAGGUGCCGCAUGGCUGUCGUCAGCUCGUGCCGUGAGGUGUUGGGUUAAGUCCCGCAACGAGCGCAACCCUUGUCACUAGUUGCCAGCACGUAAUGGUGGGAACUCUAGUGAGACUGCCUAGGUUAACUAGGAGGAAGGUGAGGAUGACGUCAAGUCAGCAUGGCCCUUAUGUCUGGGGCUACACACGUACUACAAUGGCCGGUACAGAAGGCAGCGAACCCGUAAGGCGGAGCAAAUCCCCAAAGCCGGCCCAGUUCAGAUUGUAGUCUGCAACUCGACUACAUGAAGUUGGAAUUGCUAGUAAUGGCGUGUCAGCAAC